GCUUCGAGGAAGAAGCAGCCAUGGCCAUGGAGGCCUCCUCCUCGGCGCUACGGUCGCUGCUGCACCGCAUGGCCCAACGAUGCGCCGGCUACCUGGGCCUCGCGGCGCCCCUAGCAUCCGACUACUCCCAGUCCCUUGGCGCUGGCGGCGAUCACCUGAAACCCACCGGCGCUGCAGAUGGCGUGGUGGUGCGGCCGGAGGAGGAGUUCACGGUCGUCCAGGUGCAGUCGAGAUCGAUGGCGUUUCAGAGCAACCGCAAAAUAGAUCAAGGAGUCGGCGGACGUGGUGGGAUCAAAUAUUGA
rnacentral:rRNA from 1 species